UACUUUUUUUUUUUUUUUUUUUUUUUUUUUUUUUUUUUUUUUCCGCUUAGGGUACACCUUGUUGGCGUGACAGAAUGUAUCAAGCGAAAGAA
rnacentral:ribozyme from 13 species